rnacentral:tRNA from 1 species
AGGGUUAUAAUUUAAUUGGUAAAAUAUUCGUCUCCAAAAUGAAUUUUAUAGGUUCAAAUCCUAUUGACCCUG